rnacentral:lncRNA from 1 species
GUGCUCACGAGUGACUGCUGGCUCUCAAGGUCAGCUCGGAGUGCUUUCAGAGGGGACUUGUUUAUCAUCUGUGCAGGCCCAGCUCCGAGGCCCUUGGGAACCAGGGAAUGCCUUGCUAGGACUGGCCCUCCCAACUGCCCGCCUUCUCGGCUCUGCAAAGCUUUGUUCUUUAUUGUCAUGCUACCCGUGUGGCUUGUGGGCGUAGAAAUGAUCUGCCCUGAUGGAAUCUGGGAGGAGGAAUGACCACCUGUGCGUUCCCUUCGUAAAGCCCAAGAGACAGAGGCUCGGAGAGGCUGAGUGAGUGGAAGAGGGCACAGAGGGGAGGAGCUGUGGCAGAGAGAGGUGGCUUUGGGGAAAGAAGCUUACUAAGUAAUUAGUAAACAAAGGAGAUUGUAAGUGGGUGGGUGUGGGGCAGAGGAGCAAGGGCCAGGCCCACUGGAGAAGCAGCUCUGGCUCUUUACCAUCCGCAGGAGUGUGUGUGCGCGCGCGCGCGCGCGCGCGCGCGUGUGUGUGUGUGUGUGUGUGUGUGUGUGUGUGUGUGUGUGAACGAUUGGCAUGGUUUCUUCUGGCCAUUAGAAACCACCAGGGAGAACUCCUUGCCGGCAGCAUCCCACAGCACUCAUAUGACUGAUGACCUGGGAAAUAACCCCACUCUACUCACUUAAGGACACUAACUAGAGGCUGCACUAUCUGACACCCGCCUCCUUCUGCAAUGUUGAGUGCUGACUUCAGCGUUUGAGCCUGAGCUAACCUCUAGCUCCUUGUCCACUUUUGCCUUGAGUUUGAAUUCUGCGUUGAGUGUGUGGUGUGACCACCAGUGACUGCUAGGGAGCAUCUGUUUUAGCAGAUCCCCAUGACCUGUUGGGUGAAGGAUGAAGGGUGGGUUUUCUGGCACUGGUUCUUUUAAUAAUGACACAUUUUAUUCAGCAGCUUAGACUUUUCAACUAGAACACUACACGGUGACCUCGAUACCUUGUCUUCUCCAUGAUGGGACCUGUUGGCUAGAGCUAUUGGGUCAGGUCCCUUACAGUAUUUUUCCCUUUGGUGGGUGCUGGAGGAGUCUCAGAUGCUGUGUGUCCUCUACAGCUGCCCACCUCAGGUUGUCAGGAUGUCCCAUCAACCAGACGAAAGUGCCCCCAGCUGCUGCUGGUUACAGAUUUCACAUAUUUGGGGUCAUCCACUGUGGUAGAUUCUAUUGAGACGGACAUUUUGGAAGGAAGCCCUGAGUAAAUUAGCUGAGUCUGAUGUUCAAAGAAGAAGGAAGGAGUGGAUUUCUUGAUGACAAUGGAUGGUCGAUUUUGACCUUGGUAAAAGAUAUCCAUGUCUUUAAUUAAAAAAAAAAAAUCACUCCUUACAGAAAUUUGCAAGGAGGAUACCUCUGUAGAGAUUUUUCAUCCAAGUUUUAGCAUUUCAGAUGUUAUCAACCAACUCUUUUCCCACUCUAGGUAGUUGGGCUUAUCACUCUUAAAGGAAGAAUCGUGCAUCCAGAGAUAAUGGCUUGCCAGAGGCAGGAUUAGCUGUACUUAUCCAAAGGAGAAAAUUAGGUUUGGGAACUGUAAUGACCAUGAGCUAUCGUUGCUGGAAAUAGCUUACCAGCACUGUAGGCCAACCCUCAACCCCCUCACCCUUCAGACUCUCCAUCUCACAGUCCUCCCCGUGACAGCAGGGUGGCAUUGUGACUACAACAAAGAAAACUGGUUCCUGGGAAUAAGACCGGACGGAACACCCACGUCUCCCAGGGGCAUUUGGAUUUCAGAACUGUUUUGUGGCACGUCUUGUUUAAAUAUAUGAUUGUUAAAAAUUCAUGUGAAUUCCUAGAGAAUUUUAAAGUGAAUCGAUAGCAUUUGGAAACCAAGGAAGGAACCUUAAAGAAAAAGGGAAAGUAAUGGUGGGAGAAGGGAGAAUAGAGUACAGGGACACCAGCUGUCUGCCUGUUAACACCAGUUACCUUUCUGAUUCUGCAUUUCUCUGCAGAAUCUUCAUGAACCAGGAGUGCUCAUGAUGUGAAGAUGGGGGACCUGGAGGAGCACCAUGUGGGGGUGCGGUGGACCUUCAGUUCCUGCUCUGCUAGUGGCUGUUUGACCUUAGCUAAGUCACUGGUCCUGGCCUUUGUCUUCUCAUCCUUAAAACAAGAGUUGGAUGAGGAUCCAUCCAGCUCAGGAGGCCUGGGAUCUGUGAUGUGACUUAUGUGGCUCAAUUCCCAGUGGAACGAGCCUCCCCAGAGUGGGGGAUGUCUUGCCUUCACCUGGUUCUGGGUGUGCCAGUGCUUCUCCUCGGUAACACUCAGACAGUGGCUUCUGGGCAACCAGCAUCGCUUACUGGUCCACAUUCGUCCUUUGAUAUCUGGGGCAGGGGGAUUGUUCCAGGAUUCGUGUAGAUAUCCAAAUUUGCAGAUGCUCAGGUCCCUGCACUAUAUAAAACAGUGUAGAAUUUGUAUAUAACGUGUGCACACCCUCACAUAGACUUUAGAUCAUCUCUUGCUUACUUACAAUACCAAAUUCAAUGUAGAGGCUAUGCAAAUAGUUGUUAAACUGUAUUGCUCAGGGAAUAUUGACAAGAAGAAGUCUCUGUAUAUUUAGGACAGAUGGAAUUUUUUUUUUUCUCUCGAAUGUUUUUAAUCUUUGGUUGGUCAAAUUCACAAAUGCAGAAAGAACAUUUAGGGAGGACCACUGCAGAGUGUUAUCUAGUAUGUCUCAUGAGGGCUGGCUCCUUCUUGACCUCGCUUUCCCCAUUUUUCUAUGCAGGAUUGAAAUCUUUCAGAAGUUCUGUUCUCUGAGAUAACACACACACACACACAGACACACACACACACAAACCAAAACCAAAACCAAAACUAAAACAAACAAAACUCCAACAUAGGAUGGAAGAAAUCGGAGAUGGAAGGGGAGCUCUAAGUCGAGAGGCUUACGAGAUCUCACCCAGGGACAGAUUCUGGGUGAGAAUCUCUUGUGAUUCAAACAAACAGAUUAUAAAAGACAAACAAAAGCUGACAUUCAUGAGUCAGUUGUGGUUUGAACACUUAGUAGACACUGGAUCUUAAGGAAUUAUUGGUGAUUAUUUUAGCUGUUGCAACAGUAUCACGUUGUGCUUGGGAAAGUGUCCUUAUCCUUUGGAGAAACAGCUGACAUGCUUGCAGAUAAAAUGAGAUGAUACCAAGGGCAGCUAGUGAGCAGGAUGCAGAUGACGCACGUGGGCCACAGGCUGACAGUUAUCAGAGCUGAGUGACGGGUACCCAGGGGUUAAUGGUACUAUUUGGUCCAUUUUGGUAUAAGUUUUGUAAUUUUCAUAAUAAAAAAUGUAAAAUAUAAAACCCCCAAAGGCUUGCCAGGAUUCAUCUACUGGGGCACAUUUGCCGGGGUGUAGGGAAGGUCUCGCUGUCAUCGCUGCAUAAUCGUUGGGGGUAAAUAUGGAAGUUUAUCAAUCAGAAAGGCUGCAGCGAGGCGUGCUAGCUGGCAGUGGUCCCAGCUCUGUGUGGCUGCCAUCUAGCCUUGAGGCCCACUUGCCCUCUAUAAAUAACAGGCUAUGUGAAUGCUUUACUAUUUUAACGCACACUUGCCACAGCUGCGGAUCAUGUUUGUUUACGUAGCUGUGAAGCCUUCUGUAAACAUCACUAUCUCAAAAUUGCCCAUGUGUCAGGAACAUAAAGGGCCCCCUUUAAAAAUAUAGUUGCAGAUGAGAUGCAGCCAGCUCCUGGAUGUCUGGGUGGCUGGUGUCAGAAUUUUCCAGGGUUUGAUUCAUUUUCAAAAAUAGAAUCACAUGACAGGAAUGGUCUCCGGAGGUCGUCUCCAACAUCUCUCGGCAGGACCAGGUCUAGAGCACCCCUCUGACUUCAGGCCGCAGCAGAACGAAGGUACCUGUGGAGCAUGUGGGUCUGUCCUUUAGGAGUGUGAGUUUGUCUUUUACCAGCUCCUUCGAGACAUUGAGGAUGAGCAAGCCUGGUGUCCUGCCUUCCAGGGGCAGCAGACAGAGGAACCCAAGUGGUCCACCACUGUAGGGCAGCUCCAGGUCAGGGUCACUGUGUGCCCACUGCAUGCAUGAUAGGAAGGGUGUGUUGAGGCCACGAUGCUGCCUGGCAGAUGUCCCCUCAUCCAGACCACGGAACGUCACUUAAGGUCAGCUAAGAAUAUUCUGAAGGAAGUCAUGAGAACAGCAGAAGCCGUUUGGUGUCAGCUUGCUGUUUUCAUGGCUCCGGAUUUCCAGCCUGCACUACAAUGAAUAAUUAGUUCCUUGUGAAUUUGUUUUCCUCGAGUGUGCAUUUGGUCCACAUUGUUUUUCCUGUGGCUUUGAUAUAUUGAACAUUGUUCCUCCCUAAGGGCCUGUUUAGUGCCCAUAAAUCCCAACUGUGGUUUUCAUUCACAAAGAAAAAGCAUCCUGCUGUAACCUAAGAGAUCGGUAGCACUGGAAGUGCUGAAUUGUAUGAAUCCCACGAGGGAAGGACCAAGACACGUCCAGCUUCCAGACACUUCAAGAACAUUCUAGAACACCUCUCCUCCACUUCCUAAAAAUAGAGAAAACUAUUUUUUUCCCCCAAAGGAAAUAGAUAGUGGUUGCCUUUUCUCAGGGACAGGGGCAAGAAUCUUGAUUCUUUUGCUGGCAACUACCCAGGGUUCCCUAAGCAAGCCUUGGAAAAGGCCUCCCAGCCCUCAGAGGCAAGUAUCACUGCUAAUUACCAAGAAAAAGAGGUUUCUUGCUUUGGAUUGUGUCACUCAUUACAAGCUGUCAUCGGAAAGACAGGGUCCGCCCCAGGGAGAAUUCCCACUCAGGUAUAUCACAGAGAAAAUCAGCUGACUCCAAAUUCAUUUAGUUUUUGAGACCAGGCCUUGGUUUGAGGGAGUGCAAAGCCCUUUCUGUAAUUUGAAGCUGAGGUUAACAUCAGUGAUCAGUCUCCAGCGGCUGCUGCUUCUCGAGCUCAGUGAUGCAAUGAGGAGCCUCACCUCCCUCCUGUCCCACGGGAGAAUCCUCAGAGAGAAUCUGAUACAGAGACUUCACUGGAUAAUGAAGUCGGCCAAUUGUACCACGGGUGUGUAUGAAUUUAUCACAACAAGUCCCACUUUUA